rnacentral:rRNA from 1 species
AUUGAACGCUGGCGGCAUGCCUAACACAUGCAAGUCGAACGCGAAAGGGUUUUGGCCUGAGUAGAGUGGCGGACGGGUGAGUAAUGCGUGGGAAUCUGCCUGGCAGUGGGGGAUAACCCGGGGAAACCCGGGCUAAUACCGCAUACGCCCUACGGGGGAAAGGGGGCUUCGGCUCUCGUUGCCAGAUGAGCCCACGUCCGAUUAGCUAGUUGGUAGGGUAAAGGCCUACCAAGGCGACGAUCGGUAGCUGGUCUGAGAGGAUGAUCAGCCACACUGGGACUGAGACACGGCCCAGACUCCUACGGGAGGCAGCAGUGGGGAAUAUUGGACAAUGGGCGCAAGCCUGAUCCAGCAAUGCCGCGUGUGUGAAGAAGGCCUGCGGGUUGUAAAGCACUUUCAGUCGGGAAGAAAGGUCUGGGGCGAAUACCCUCAGGCGUUGACGUUACUGACAGAAGAAGCACCGGCUAACUCCGUGCCAGCAGCCGCCGUAAUAC